CCUACGGGUGGCAGCAGUGAGGAAUAUUGGUCAAUGGACGGAAGUCUGAACCAGCCAUGCCGCGUGCAGGAAGACGGCUCUAUGAGUUGUAAACUGCUUUUGUACAAGGGAAAACCUGAAUACGUGUAUUCAGCUGAAAGUACUGUACGAAUAAGGAUCGGCUAACUCCGUGCCAGCAGCCGCGGUAAUACGGAGGAUCCAAGCGUUUUCCGGAUUUAUUGGGUUUAAAGGGUGCGUAGGCGGAUUGGUAAGUUAGAGGUGAAAUGUCCGAGCUUAACCCUGGAACUGCCUCUAAUACUGUUUAUCUAGAGUGUAGAUGCGGUAGGCGGAAUGCAUGGUGUAGCGGUGAAAUGCUUAGAGAUCCGACAGAACACCGAUUGCGAAGGCAGCUUACCAAUCUAUAACUGACGUUGAGGCACGAAAGCGUGGGGAGCAAACAGGAUUAGAUACCCGGGUAGUC
rnacentral:rRNA from 1 species